CUGUCCAGUUCAAAGGUCUCUCUCCACAAGGUGCUUCCCCUCCUCCACCUAAGGGGAAUAUCCCAGGGACUUGCUGCCAGCCCACAGCCCAUCAAGCAGGGGCAGGGAGAGCCAGCACCCAGCGGGGGUGAGACUGCACAGCCUCAUGGCUGCUGUUCUCACCCUAUUCACUCGUGUCCACCUGCCGUCUCUGCACAUUUGAUGAUGUGGUCUGCCUCGCUGGACGCCCCACCCGAAUGCUGAGGGGCCUACAGAGGCACAGUGGCUGCUAUGGCACCCUCUACUCAAGCAGGCUUCACCUCCCAGCCCCUGCCUGCAGGUCACUUUACUCCUCUGGAAGUCCUGUGAGAUGAUGCCUCUCUUGCCCCAACACAGUCCCCACCUGGCUCCUCAAGCAACGUGAUCUGAAUGGUGUCCAUGGGGAUAGAGUUCAACUAGCAGGACCAGAAAGCAGCAUGGACAUGCUGGAAAGAUGGCCCUACCAUUCUGUACAACCUUGAAUAGCUCUUAAACUUCAUUGGGCCUUGUUUCUUCUUCUAAAACUAAGUGUUGUAAAAAAAAAAUAUGAAUAUAGCAAGUCUUCACACAGGUAGCAUCCUGGGUGGAGUGAUCUCCAUGAAAAGGCCCAGUGAAUCCCUGAGAUGCUGGGUCGCUGCGCAGUUUCCCAAGGUUCUGGCCAUGAUCCCUGCUCCAGCCAGCCCAAGGAGAAAGCCUGGGUGGCCUAAGAGGAAGUGCCAUCCCUGGUAGGGUGGGCUGAGGGGCCCUGGGAGUGCCUGCCUCUUGGGCUGGAUGAAAGUGGACACCUGCCUUCAAGCAUGUGUCUCAGUCCACAAGUUAUAGGAGAAAGAAGGAGAGGAGAAAGCAGAGGUAGAAAACAAAAGAAUCACUCACCCUACAGACUGCCUGCCAAGUUCCUCUGCUGCCUGGAAAGCCCAAGGAGAAUUCAGAGAUCCCAUUAGGUUGGAGCACAGGGCAGGACUGCUUAGGGCAAGAUGCUGGUCAGGCUCUCUGAGUUCCCAGGCUCUCAAUUUAGGGAUUGUUUACUACCCUGCUGGCCUCUCUUUGUAUUAGCCACUGCAGCCUUUGAAUAAAAGGCAUGAUGGAGUUGCCAGCCAGAAGUCAUUGUGGCCUUUUCUCAGGAUCUCAGAGGGCACCCUUUGUCCAGCAAGGUGGCUGCAUAGUGGAUGAUACUUGAAGGGUGUGGCAAGAUUUACAGGGACUAUGGGAGACUGGCACUGACUCAUUGGUUUAGAAAGGACUUGCUAGGCUGGGCAGGCCAAGGUGGGAGGAUCCCUUGAGCCCAGAAGUUCAAGACCAGUCUGGGCAAUGUGGUGAACUCCAUCUCUACUAAAAAUACAAAAAAUUAGCAGGUGUGGUGGCAUGCGCCUAUAGUCCCAGCUACUCAGGACACUGAGGUGGGAGGAUCACUUGAGCCUGGGAGGUUGAACCAUGAUUGCACCACUGCUCUCCAGCCUGGAUGAGACAGAAGGAGACCCUGUCUCAAAAUAAAUAAAUAAAUAAAUAAACAAAAAACAACAACAAACAAACAAAACAAAAAACAAAAAACAGGACCUGCUAGCUGCACUCAUUGGCCACCCCACAUUGGACUCAGGGACAUUGCUCACACCCUGUGUGCCCUGGGACAAGUUCCCUGACUACUUCAUGACUCAGCUUCCUCAUCUGUAAAGGUGUAAUCAUAAUGAUAAUAACCCCACAUGUUUAGCAAAUUAUUUAGUAGAAUGAAUGGAGUGCUUUGCACAGAGUAGUUGCUGAACAAAUUAGCUGCUGUGUCUAUUAUUGGUCUUGGGCUGGGCAAUGACGUAGGCCAGCCAAUCAAAAUCCUUCUUUAGGAUUUUGUAAACUAGCAGUGGGACAAAAGGCCAGUCCCUCCUAGGUGAUGAAGCUUUAAGUUGCAAAUGGGGGAGCCAUUCCCUGCCAUGUACAGGAAGCUGGUUCUGGGAGGACAAAGUCAGAGAAGCAGAGAUGGAAGAUAGAGGUGAGCUCCUAGUGGCUUUCAAAUCCCUGAUUCCAGUUGUUUCACGUGGCCCAGCUGCACCUCAGUUGUUCCUGCAGUGUAUGAUCCAUCAAACAAAUUCCCCUUUGGGCUGUGGCUAGUUUGAGGGGUAUAUUAGCAUGCUAGGUCUGCCAUGACAAAGUACCACAGACUAGGGGGCUUAAACAACAGAAAUUUACUGUCUCACAGUUCUGGAGGCUGGAAGUCCAAGCUCAAGGUGUCAGCAGGGUUGGCGUCCCGUGAGGCCUCUCUCUUUGUCUUGGAGACAGCCGCCUUUUCCUUCUUUCUUCGCAUAAUCUUCGCUCUGUCUAAAUCUAUGUCCUAGUCUCUUCUUAUAAGGACACCAGUCACACUGGAUUAGGGCCCGCCCUGAUGACCUCAUUUGAGUUUAGUUACCUCUUUACUGACCCCCAUCUCCAGAUAUAGUCACAUUCUGAGGCACUGGGAGUUAGGACUUCAACAUAUGAAUUAGAGGGGAGGUGGGAAGGUGCAAUUCAGCCUGUACUGAGGCAUCUGAGUUUUUUCUGUCACCUGUAACCAAGAGAGUCUUGACUGAUAUGCAUGCAUACUCAUAGAAAAUAAAAUCUGGGAGAAUGUUUAUCAAAAUCUUAAAAGAUACUAUUUCUACACGGUAGAUUAAGACUGACAUUUGUAUUUGCUUACCCACAUUUUCAAUUUUUCUUCUGUAAUAAACAUGCAUUCUCAUUGUAAUAAAAAUGUUUUAAAAU
rnacentral:lncRNA from 10 species